rnacentral:lncRNA from 1 species
ACCAUCCCCACUAGGCAGCUCCAACUGGAACCAAUCUGGGAUAUAGUAUUCAGCUUGGAUCCUUUCCAGCUCAAACUCCAUAAAGGUGGACCUCUCGAUGCUCAGCCUAUGCUUGGGAAUAUCUGAGUUGAAAGAUUCAGAUCGAACUGAAGGAUCUGAAGUGGUAGCAAUUCAAGAUUCUCCCCAAAUCUGACCCAGGGAGGGGCCGACAAGAUAUCCUAGUUAGCCUAACAACUUUUGCCUCGAGUCUCACUACCAUCAGAAGCUAUAUGGAUUUAAAGAAGGCAGAAAAUGGAAGAAAAAUGCAAGAAAAAUGGAAGCGGGAGUAGGAAGAAAAACCAAACAAGAAGCUUGAGAAUGAAACCCCUAAAAGCUAUAGGAAAAGUUAGAAAAAUAUAACAAA